UACGUAGGGACCAAGCGUUGUUCGGAUUUACUGGGCGUAAAGGGCGCGUAGGCGGCCUAACAAGUCACUUGUGAAAUCUCCGGGCUUAACUCGGAACUGCCAAGUGAAACUGUCAGGCUAGAGUGCAGAAGGGGCAAUCGGAAUCUUGGUGUAGCGGUGAAAUGCGUAGAUAUCAAGAGGAACACCUGAGGUGAAGACGGGUGCUGGGCUGACACUGACGCUGAGGCGCGAAAGCCAGGGGAGCAAACGGGG
rnacentral:rRNA from 1 species